rnacentral:lncRNA from 1 species
GGACGCCAGCGACACUGGCUGGAAACAAAGCCCUUCCAGCGGUAGAUUAGUUGGCAGUGGAAUUAGUGUUUAUGGAUGGAUCGCGGAACUGAGCAUCUUCCAAGUUGUACCUUUCUUUUUUAACACGCUGGUGGAUCUCGGAGGUUUUUUUUCGGUUACUGUCUCUAUUUCAUGCUGUAAGACUUUUUAACUUAUUUAAAUUCAUUAAUUAAUAAAUAUAUAUAAUUUAAAUAUAUGUCUAGAUUCAUUAACAUUUAAAUAAAUCUAGAUAAAGUUAAAAAGUCUUACUUUGGUGGAGUGCAGGCUGUUGUUGUUUCGUGGGUGUUUGGUAGCCUAGAUAGCCUAAGAU